rnacentral:rRNA from 1 species
CCUACGGGCGGCAGCAGUGGGGAAUAUUGCACAAUGGGGGAAACCCUGAUGCAGCGACGCCGCGUGAGUGAAGAAGUCUUUCGGUAUGUAAAGCCCUAUCAGCAGGGAAGAAAAUGACGGUACCUGAUUAAGAAACCCCGGCUACCUACGUGCCAGCAGCCGCGGUACUACGUAGGGAGCAAGCGUGAUCCGGAAUUACUGGGUGUAAAGGGAGCGUAGACGGCAGCACAAGGCUGGAGUUAAAUGCCGGGGCGUAACCCCGGAACUGCUUUGGAAACUGUGCAGCUAGAGUGCAGGAGAAGUAAGUGGAAUUCCUAGUGUAGCGGUGAAAUGCGUAGAUAUUAGGCGGAACACCAGUGGCGAAGGCGGCUUACUGGAUUGUAACUGACGUUGAGGCUCGAAAGUGUGGGGAGCAAACAGGAUUAGAUACCCUAGUAGUC